CGUCUAUAUACGUAUAGCAUAUCAAUAAGCGGAGGAAAAGAAACUAACAAGGAUUCCCCUAGUAACGGCGAGUGAAGCGGGAAGAGCUCAAAUUUGAAAUCUUCAAGGGUUUCCCUUGACGAAUUGUAGUAUAAAGAAGUGUUUUCUGUUAGAGAGGUAGUAAAAGUUCUUUGGAAUAGGACAUCAUAGAGGGUGAGAAUCCCGUAUUUGGUCAUUCUUUCUAGCUUUGUGAUACACUUUCAACGAGUCGGAUUGUUUGGGAAUGCAGUCCAAAAUGGGUGGUAAAUUUCAUCUAAAGCUAAAUAUUGGCGAGAGACCGAUAGCGAACAAGUACCGUGAGGGAAAGAUGAAAAGAACUUUGAAAAGAGAGUUAAACAGUACGUGAAAUUGUCAAAAGGGAAGCGUUUGACACCAGUGUUGUUUUUCCGAAAAUCAAUUACGAAUGUUUUGUUUUUGAGGAGUUAUGACUUCAUCGGCUUGCUCCUUUCUUUACGAAACUUUCUUAAUGCACUUUUCGGUUAACAAGUCAACAUCAAUUUCUUUUGUUGUAAAAGGGUAUGAGGAAGGUGGCUUUCUUUUCGGAGAAAGUGUUUAUAGCCUUGUGCCUCUACAAUCGGAGAGAUUGAGGUCUGCAGCGUAGACUCUUCGGGGUUAGAUACAUUUGUGCUAAGUUAUAGCUUUUCAUAGACAACUUGUUGACUAUGUUUAGUCUUGUGACUUACUCGCUUACGCUAUUUUACCUACGCUUAGGAUGUUGAUAGUCACAGCGUGUAC
rnacentral:rRNA from 1 species